AUACGGAGGGUGCAAGCGUUAAUCGGAAUUACUGGGCGUAAAGAGUACGUAGGUGGUUUAUUAAGUCAGAUGUGAAAGCCCCGGGCUUAACCUGGGAACUGCAUUUGAUACUGGCAAACUAGAGUAUGAUAGAGGCGGGUAGAAUUCCUAGUGUAGCGGUGAAAUGCGUAGAUAUUAGGAGGAAUACCAGUGGCGAAGGCGGCCCGCUGGACCAAUACUGACACUGAGGUACGAAAGCGUGGGUAGCGAACAGGAUUAGAAACCCCUGUAGUCC
rnacentral:rRNA from 1 species